CUUGUGGUUUUUAUUGUUUUCCUCAGCCUAGAACUAGAUGGCCCAGUCAGGAAACUGAAGGAUAGCAAUCCAUAUCAUUCAUUCGUUUACUUUCACAACACUGCCUCUAAGUUGUACAAACUCUUCUCAAGCAAAGACAGCUCAUAACUUCUUUCAAGGUAGAAAGUUCUUCUAAAGAAGGAGUCAAUAUGGGGUGGGGGUUAUGGACACCUACUUCAAGUCACAUAGAUUUGGGUUUUAACCCAGAACAGUUUCAAUGCAUUCUCCUGUUUACUUAAACAAAUUACUUAAUCUUAUGUCUGAAAUAGUGCUAACAAUACCUAUCACACAGUUUGUGAGGAUUAAAAGAAAAGAAGGUACGUAGAGCACCUCCUAGCACUGUGCCUGGCUCACAGUGAAUGCUCAAAAUGGCAGUUAAGGAGAAUAGAGCUAAAUUCAGCUUCAGUCUGUCCUUUUCCAGUAUGUGCUGCAUAAUUCUGCCUAGGUUUACGUGAGCUCUGCGAUUGUUCCUCACGUGUCUUUAUGUUUUGUUUCUCUACUUAGGCUGUAAGCACCCCUUACCAGGAUCUGAUAUUCUUUCAUAUUAUUGAAUUCCACAGAAGUCUUUACGGCAGGACCCCUGCUCAGGCAUCAAAUAAUUAUAAUUCGUCCAUCUGCCAUUUCAAGUUCAUGAAAUGUGUUAUUUGAUCUUCUACAUCAGCAGACUUUGCUCUGUAUUAAGAUACAGUUUAUCUACUUUCCUUAAGUGCAUCCAGUGGAGACUAAAAAGCCUUAUAUGUGGUUUGAAGAAAAAAGAAGGUCAGGAACAUCAGUGUACCUUGAAGGUGGUAGAAGAGUAGAGAGAACCUUCAAGGCUGGGUGAGAAAAUUGGGUCUGUUAGACUUGACUGAAUCCACGCAUUGAAUAGAGUCUUCUCUUCCAAGGCUGCAGGCAUGAGCUUUGCAAGUUUGAGCACACAAACUCUUGGCCUGAAACCACAGCUUCAGAAUGAGCCUGGCACUAGGAGUUAUCUCCAUAAUCUCCUUCCCUUCCCCAAAUUAGAGUUAUUUUUCCCUUCUUUCUUCUGAUGAUGAGGAUAUAAUCCUGGCAAGAGUUGACCAUUUCCCCAAUAUUAUCUGUUCAUUUUUACCAUUAUUUGGUGUGUUAUUCAUUUUUGGAAUGAUUUGCAGUGAAUGUUUUAUUGUGGCCCAGCAUGCUCCUGUUAUCCUGCAUUCUUCAGCACAGCCAUCUCUUCACUCAUCAUUUGGCAAGGGCUAGAAUAAAACAAAUCUUCUGAAUAUUUGUUCCUCUUACAGAAACUCUUCUUGCUAAGUCAGACCCCUCAGGGAGCACCUUCCUGUGUUGUAUCUGAAAUCUCCUGUUUUGGCUAUCAGUGUCAUAGUUUGCUACCAGAAGUAUGGUAAUUGAGACCACGGAGAACCCUCCCCAAAAUGGUGAAAAGCCUUAGAAGCCUUUGUUUUAAAAGAUGUGGAGAUGAAUUCCUGAGAGUUUAGAUGCUUCUCCUACCCCUCCUCCUCUGGCCUCAUGAUGUCCUGCCAUUCGUACAUUUGAGACAUGUGCUAAAGAAUAUCUACCCAUCCUGCACAUCUUCACCUGGAAAAAUGCUGGCUGAUUCCAUGUGUCCCACAGGGGGAUGUGUUGAUUUGGAUAGUGGGCAGCAGAAAGCCUUUGCUAUUCAGAAUAUGGAAAUGGGAGAAAUGGAGCCAGAAAAUGUUUACAGAACAGUGAGAGAAGAAAAGGAAAACUACCCAAAGGACAGCUGACCUGUUUAAAAGCAGAAUAUACUUAAAAUACCCCAAGGACUGAGGCUUUUGUAACAUGAGUGAUGAGUAUUAAAGGUAAAAGAUUCCUGUUUUCAAACAGAGAUAUUCCUAAACCUACCAAGCAAAGGAGAAUCCACAAUAUCUGUUGUGGUAGGAAGUUCUUCUGAAGUCUAACAUUAAUCCCUCCGAUGUUAUUUUAUUUGCCUAUAUUAAUGUGUUGCUUUGUAAUUGUUCUAAGGUUGCUUUUAUUGUGUGUGUUUUGCCCUCACAGGUAAACUCCUCCAGGGCAGGACCUGACUCUUCAGAGGAAUUUUUUAAUCCCCCUCCCCAGAAGUGCCCACGUCAAGGCCAUAGUAGAGAAGGAGCUCAAGAGCAAUCCCUAAGCAACCACGCUUGGAAGCAUCCUGCAACAGAGGGAUUUGUUCCAGACUCAGAUUUAAUCCACUAUUACCUUUUCGUAAGACAAGUGUUGUCUGAAGGAGUCUGUGUGUAAUUUUGAGACAAAAGGAUUGCAGAACUCAGCUCCCAGGUUGUCUCAUAUCUGAUUCUUCGAAAGAGGAAAAGAAGCGAACUCUUCUGCACAAUAGCUGAGCAGAUAGGAGAGAAAAAGCUUGAAGAUUCACAGUGGAGCAAGGCUAAUUGGAGCCUUCCUCAGAGCAGCUCAACUAUCCCAGUUUUACCUAUCCCAUUCCUUGCCAUUCCCACUUGUAAUUCUGUCUUGGCAAGAACACCAUACUGAAGGUUCUUAAAGCAGUUUGUAGACUUUAAUUAGUUCUGUGGAAAGUCAGUCAAAGCUCAGCCUUCAUUCUGCCAACAGAGACAACAGUGGUGGGUGUGGAAGGAAGGCAAGAAGAAGAUGGACACCCAGAGCAGUUGUGCAACUUACUGAAGGCCAUGUGGAUAGGAGGAACUGGGUUUAAAACCCCUGAGUCUUGAUAAAAGUGUCUUAGCCUUCUAGAUUCCUAAACAGGUAGUGGGCUCAUCCUACUAACCUACUUUGCUAGGGUGUUGUUGAUGAAUGCUUAUAAACCCUGUCCUAGAUGAUAGGUUUGGAAGAUUGUUAAAGAAAGCAUGUCAUUAAGUCCCUACUCACCCCCUCCUUGACAAAUAGCCCUGGAGGGAAAUGAAUAUUAGCCAGAAUCGUAGGGCCUCCACUUCAAUGGAAUGAACUGAGAUUCAACAACAAGAGAAAUGUUCCAACAGUGAGGGAAAUCAACAAUGUGCUGGGGGUGAAGGGUAGGGGUUGGGAAGGCCUAAACAGGUGACCAUUGCCAGACAGCCCAGACAAGAUCAUCACAGAAUAGCUGAUUCCCAUUAGACACUGUGGGUGAUCAUUAUCUUAAAAUUCAGGACACUAUUUUUGUAGUAGUUUCCCUUCCUCUCUUUGUAAGAGCAGAAGACCUCUCUGGGGCCUAUCACAAGACAAGCGGGUGUUUGCAAAUGAGGGACGUACUUUGAGACUGAAUUGCUCUGUGCUUCUCUAAAAGACAUGGUUAAGAGUUUGGGCGCUGAUGUUAGAGACUGAGAUUAAAAUCCUUCCUUGCCACUUCCAUCAGUAUAAAUUUGGAUAAGUUUCUUAACUUCUCUAAGCCUUGAUUUUCUCACCUAUAAAAUGGGCCUAAUAAUAGUGCCUAACUUAGAGGUUUGUUGUAAAGGUUAAAUGCAAUUAUUCAGGUAAAGCCUUAAUGGAGCCUGAUAUGUAGUAAGCACUCAAUCCAUUUUAUCUACUGACUCUUUUCUCUGUGUGGGUUACCCACUUUGGAGAUUGUCCCCAGUAAUUUCUUUGGUCAAGUCUUGAUCUCCCUGGCCCCUUGGCUGUCUUCUCCCACCAUGAUCAGUGAGAAGUUGAGGAGCACUAAUACCAAAUUCUUUUUCAUGUUAGUUAGGAGAAAGCAGAAUUACGAAGGUCAACCUGCUGGUGUAAAAAAAUAUUACAUAGAUUAGCCCUGCUCUACAUAUUAGAUAUGUUCUCAAAAUGCCUAAGUGGCCUUUUUUUUUUUUUUUAAUUUAAGUUCUAGGGUACAUGUGCACAACGUGCAGGUUUGUUACAUGUGUAUACAUGUGCCAUGUUGGUGUGUGGCACCCAUUAACUUGUCAUUUACAUUAGGUAUAUCUCCUAAUGCUAUCCCUCCCACCCCCACCCCCUGGCAGGCCCUGGUGUGUGAUGUUCCCCACCCUGUGUCCAUGUGUUCUCGUUGUUCAAUUCCCACCUAUGAGUGAGAACACACGUGUUUGGGUUUUUGUCCUUGCGAUACUUUGCCAAGAAUGAUGGUUUCCAGCUUCAUCCAUGUCCCUACAAAGGACAUGAACUCAUCAUUUUUAUGGCUGCAUAGUAUUCCAUGGUGUAUAUGUGCCACAUUUUCUUAAUCCAGUCUAUCAUUGAUGGACAUUUGGGUUGGUUCCAAGUCUUUGCUAUUAUGAAUAGUGCCACAAUAAACGUAUGUGUACCUGUGUCUUUAUAACAGCAUGAUUUAUAAUCCUUUGGGUAUGUGCCCAGUAAUGGGAUGGCUGGGUCAAAUGGUAUUUCUAGUUCUAGAUCCUUGAGGAAUUGCCUAAGUGGCCAUGUUUAUAUUGGGUAAUCUUUAAAUGACUUUAUUUGCAAGUCUGAGUAAUAUACUCAUAGAAACAAGAAUCACAGUUAAGGGAAGGGAAACUAAUAUUUGAGCUUGAGACACUUUCCAUAUCCAAGUCCAAUUGAAUCCUCCCAAUCACCCAAUAAAGAGAUCUUAUUAUUCCCAUUUUAUAUGUUAAACAACCAAAACUCAGAGAGGUUAAUUAAUACUCUCAAAAUCACUCUUCUAGGGGUGGUGGAGCCUAAGUUUGAAUGCAGCUCUGGCUCCCAAACCUGUCCAUUUUCUACUAUGUCAUGCUCAAAGGCAUAUUCUGCUUUUGUCCAUUGUCAGCCUAUGUGCAUUUAAGUUUCCCACACAAAUUCAAGAAGAAUUUUAUCCAUCAAUUCACAUGACCUUGAGUAUUAAUUUAGUUUAAAAAUCUUUCCCCUUAUGAUUUAAAAAAUAUUCACUUUAAGAAAUUAUCUGCCAUGUGCAGGAUUAUCAUAGGAUUAAAAAAAAAAAAGAAAUUAGCAGCCGGUUGUGGUGGUUCAUGCCUGUAAUCCCAGCACUUUGGGAGACUGAGGUGGGAGCAUUGCUUGAGGCCAGGAGUUCAAGACCAGCCUGGGUAGCAUAGUGAGACUCUGCCUCUACAAAAAAUUAAAAAUUAGCCAAGCAUGGUGACACACGCCUGUAGUCCCAGCUACUCAGGAGGCUGAGGCAAGAAGAUUACUUGAGCCCAGAAGGUUGAGGCUGCAGUGAGCUAUGACCACUACAUUCCAAUCUGGGUGAGGGGUGAGAGAAGAA
rnacentral:lncRNA from 1 species